rnacentral:rRNA from 1 species
UACAGAGGGGGCAAGCGUUAUUCGGAAUUAUUGGGCGUAAAGGGCGCGUAGGCGGCUUUGCAAGUGACGGGUGAAAUCCCUCGGCUUAACCGAGGAACUGCCUGUCAUACUGCAUUGCUUGAGUCCGGGAGAGGUGAGUGGAAUUCCCAGUGUAGCGGUGAAAUGCGUAGAUAUCAGGAGGAACACCGGUGGCGAAGGCGGGUCUCUGGGCAGUAACUGACGCUGAGGAGCGAAAGCGUGGGGAGCGAACAGG